GUUGGGUAAUACCUGAAUACCCAGUGCAACCCCAGCUAAGUUUGCUUUCAAUCUCCUGCCAAAUUUGGGGUUAUGCUGUUGGUAAACAUCUCCUGUGAAGAAGAGGCUGGCCAUCCCCACCAGCUGCCAAUCAGCUGCUACCUACAGUGUAGGCAGGCCAACCUAGCAGAAGCAGCAAGAUCCAGAAGAAGAGACAGGAACCACCAUGUACCAGGCAAACUCUGGUUAUCAGACAGGGCUUUUGAAUUUAUUCCAGACCUGAAAUAGCAUUGUCAAAUUAACAUCAGAGUGUGACAAAAAGUCCCUCACACUCAUGAAGUGGAGAAACUAUCACAACACAGCCUAAGAUGCCUUGUUCAAGAAGAGGGGUUGGUUGGGAGCCAUCGACUUCCAUGAGCCGUCUGUUUCUGCAGCAGUGCUGAAGUGGCAAAAACAAACACGACUUUUUCAGAGGGCUAAUUCCUUUCUUUUCUUUGUCUGAUUCCUUGUCAGCACAGCUUUUCUUUGCUGUCUGCAAGGCUGCUGAGCAUAAUAAAGGCUGGGAAUGUCUGU